rnacentral:rRNA from 1 species
GGACCCGCACAAGUAGUGGAGCAUGUGGUUUAAUUCGAAGAUACGCGCAGAACCUUACCAACACUUGACAUGUUCGUCGCGACUCUGAGAGAUUAGAGUUUUCGGUUCGGCCGGACGAAACACAGGUGCUGCAUGGCUGUCGUCAGCUCGUGUCGUGAGAUGUUGGGUUAAGUCCCGCAACGAGCGCAACCCUCACUUUUAGUUGCCAUCAUUUAGUUGGGCACUCUGAAAGAACUGCCAGUGAUAAGCUGGAGGAAGGUGGGGAUGACGUCAAGUCCUCAUGGCCCUUACGUGUUGGGCUACACACGUGCUACAAUGGUAUCUACAACAGGAAGCAAGACGGCGACGUCAAGCAAAUCCUUAAAAGAUACCUCAGUUCGGAUUGCACUCUGCAACUCGAGUGCAUGAAGCUGGAAUUACUAGUAAUCGU